rnacentral:rRNA from 1 species
UACGUAGGCAGCAAGCGUUGUUCGGAGUUACUGGGCGUAAAGGGUGUGUAGGCGGUUGCUUAAGUUUGGUGUGAAAUCUCCCGGCUCAACUGGGAGGGUGCGCCGAAUACUGAGUGACUCGAGUGCGGGAGAGGAAAGUGGAAUUCCUGGUGUAGCGGUGAAAUGCGUAGAUAUCAGGAGGAACACCGGUGGUGUAGACGGCUUUCUGGACCGUAACUGACGCUGAAACACGAGAGCGUGGGUAGCAAACAGG